rnacentral:lncRNA from 1 species
AUGCACCUUUUUUUCUUUUUUAAAAAAAAAAUUAUUAUUAUUUGCCUCUAUUUUUCAGUGAAGUGUUCUGUGUGGCAAAAUUUCUGUANNNNNNNNNNNNNNNNNNNNNNNNNNNNNNNNNNNNNNNNNNNNNNNNNNNNNNNNNNNNNNNNNNNNNNNNNNNNNNNNNNNNNNNNNNNNNNNNNNNNAAAAAAAAAAACCAAAAAAUGGUGGAACGUACCAAUUUGGACUAUGAAGAUUUUAAUAGCUUAACUUUCUAGUGACCAUUACUAUUUUCAUAAGGCUCUUGUUUUAAAGUUGUUUACAAAUGUACUUUUCUCCUUUUGUUAAACUAUCUGGAGUGUUCAGGAGGUUUUUCAUGUACUCUUCUGUCCAGUUAAAGCCGUUCUGGUAAUGGAGGUAACACAUCUAGUUUUGUCCAGGCAGGGCCUUCUAGGAAAGAAUAACAGGCUCUGCUUUUUGUUCAAGUAUGUGUUCUGUAAGAUACUGUGUAACUGAAAGUAUGCUUCUGUACACUGUGCAGUUCUACCAAAAAAUGCUUUUUUUUAGGCUUGUUUGUUUUGUUUUGUUUUUUUUCUCUGAUGAGAAGCUGAAGAUUGUAAUUCAAAACUUGUAUAUAAAAUGGUGAAUGAUUUCAUAUGAUUCAGGAAUGAGCAGUGUGGCUUUCUGCUACAGGGUUUUAAUACUUUAUUAGGAAUCUCAUUAAUAAAAGCUGUGCGACUUCCACAAACGGAUAAUAAUGCUCUUGCCAGGGCAUCCUUGAUCUCUGCUGGAAUCCCACACUGGGUGGGGGAUGAUCAUCACAGUUGUUCCCGCCACCGAAAGAAAAUUCUUCUGUUAUUAGCUCUUCCCUUCCUGUGUGCAGAAGUGGGGCGUGGGAUGAAUAUCCCCGGUCAUAGCUGACUAUUGAGAUAUUUUAAGAAUGCCACAUCUUUCAUACUGGUUCUGUGAAAAGAUGAGCGCUCUUCUUGUGUUGUUCUUACAGAUUCCUUUUCCUAGAAUUUCUCUGUCCUAUUUGUAAUGGAUUUUAUUGUCUGAGAGCUUCCUUUGACAUAUCACAGGUGGAUGCAACCUUUAACUGUCUCCUUGCCUGUGAAGAACACAAAAUCUUGCAUCAGAUCAGUUCUGAGCUGUUUUGAACAACUUGGCCACUAUAGGUGUGCAUUUGAUCCCUCAGAAUGCUGCACAAGGAGAAUAAUCUUGGAAAAAAAAUAAUAAUCCAUGUACAUUUUAUGCACGCAUAUACAUUGUUUUAUCUGCUUAACGUGUAUAGAUAUGGAGAGUUGCAUCCAAUCAGAAUUUUUACAUUUACUUUUAUUUCCAGAACCUGCUGAGCUGAGGGAGGUAAGCUCUCUGUAGAAACUUUUUAUUUCCUGUAAAAUGCUGUUAAGUGGGCAGUGCUUUAAGCAUCUGAGGUAAAGUUCCAUAAAGACAGAUUCAUAAGGAUAUCUGUGUGGAAGAAUGCACUGAAGAGCUGUGCCUGCUUGGUCCUUUCCUGCUUGUGGGAACAGUUCAAAUUUUGAGAGUUUUGCUAUGAGUGUUUCAGCUUCACACCUGCACUCUGACUCUAGACAGGGGGUGUGCUUCAUGAAAAAGCUGAACUAACUUUAAGCCAGAUAAUUUAUUAACAAAAUACUGUCUUAAAAUUCUUGAAGAGCACUAUAAUCCCAGAACUUUAACCUGAACAAGCAGUUACAGAACAAGGAGCUGAAAGUGUGGCUCCUGGUGGUGCUGGGGGACAAUGAGGGUGAUGCUGCACACUCUAACCAUGUUUCCCCAUGCUAAACUGCAGCUCUGAGCUCUGUCUUCAUUCAGACCUCUCCCUGGUACUAUGCAGCUGAUGGUCUCAGUGUAAAUACUAAUCCCUGAACACUGGCAUACAAACCAGGAAAAUGCAGGGUUCUUCCCUUUUCCCUCCCACUGAUGUCAAGGGCAAGAGGCAGCAGAGCAGCUGCACGUAGGCUGCUCUCCUCUGGUAUUUAGGCAGAAGACCAAGGAUUGACUCCCAUUCAUACAGCGUACAGGCUCAGCACAUAGGCUAGGUCACAAGUAUAGCUUAUAAUGGAAAAUCAGAAAAAAAAAAAAUCCCUGGUUCUGGGAGACUUGAAAAUGAUGAUCUGGUAGGGUAGAUGGGCCUAGAGCAGUUGGGCCAACUCUGAGUGAUGUGCUGAACCCCCAUGAUGGCCCUGGCAGCUCCCCCUGGGUAAGAAGAGGAGCGGGCAAAAAACAGCAUGAGAAAAGGAGGAGAGCUGCUUGCACUGAGCCCCUUUAAGCUGCAUAGCUAGCGCCAACACUACACAAAUCUAAGACUGCUCAGAUUUCCUUCUGAAGACAGGCAGCUACAAAUUUCUUUCUAAAAGAGGGAAUAAGUCAUCCCAUGAUGUGAGAAUGCCUGUGUUUGCCCAACCAUCACAGCAGGAGGGAUGCUGAGGGUUCUUGAGAGGCCCCAGGGGGCUCUGCUUUUGCCAGACCCCAGAGGACUCUUCAAAACAGCUGCCUCCCAAAAGUUAAACCUGGUACGUGCAAAUCAGACUCUUAUUAAAGUUUCUUACAUCAUCAGUGGCAACCAGGCUAGAGCAGAGCCGUGAAUGGUUGGGGAGGUAGGAGAGGCAGCUAAUUUAGCUUGUCCUCUGAGCUCAGCCUGGGGCUGCAUGCUCCAGGCACAAAAUAUUUCUGUCAUUCCAGGCCACAGACAAGGCCUAAGAGGUGGCAGAAGGAGCCAUGCUGAUGGGCGCAGCUGUUCUUAAAAUAAAGAGUGAAACUCAGCAGCCGAAAGUGGCAGCCUUGGAGCAGAGAGUGCUGUUGUCAUAGGGGGUUUAACAACCACUGCAGGUGUCCAAUGAAUGCUGGGAAUCACUGAAGUUGUAGUGAAGUCUGAGGAUUAGGUCAAUCUGCUUAUAGUCAUCUAAAACGCUAUCUACAAGAAGAUGCCUGAAGAGCAAUGCGGGAUUUUUGUUUAGAUGAAGGGAAAAAAAAGAUGAGUACACUAUAUCCUGCCUUUUUGGCAGGGAAACACACCUGUAGCUCUAGCAUAAGGUAUGGUCUGUGUGCACUGCUGUAGGGACAGCAUGGGGAAACAAGAAGGGGCAUGACGGAGGUUCUAUUUCAUGGUUGCUUUCUAGAGUGCUCCAACCUCACAGGUCUUAAGGAAGAAAAGUAAAAAGCCUCACAACCACAGCUGGGGGAGCUGUGUUGGGCCUCCUCAAAAAAGCUCCAUAGAUCAAAGUGAAUCUUCAGUCACAGCUGUUUCAGUUCUGAUGUUUUAGAAGCAUGUAAUCACCUGCCCAAGGCCUUGGCCUUCACCUGCUCUGUGUGGAUGUAGCUGCAGAGGUGUCAGAUAGAACAUUGUUGUGUGCUCACAACAGGGCUUAUUUCAUAACUGCUUAUUGCUUUUCCUCUUAAGAAAAGAAAAGAAAAAAAAGAAAGGCAUUUGUAUACAUUUUAGAAAUCUGAAAUUUAGAUCACUUGUUAAACAAUACAGCAGAGCUUUCCAUGCUGUCAAUGUACUAUAUAAUUACUAGCCAUAGCUCUCUAUCAGCCAGUGCUGCCAGCUCCUGAGAGUGUUUCAGCUAUAGCGGAUAAGACAAUGAGCUGAAUGUUUUAAAAGAAGCUUAAAAGUGCCGAGUGAUUAUGCUGUGGUCCUUCUUGCUGUGUAAUAGAAAAAUAUGUGCUGGUUCUUAAAUCCACCUAAAGUACAGAGGUACUCAGGAGAGACAUUCUUAGCUCUGUGCUCAAGCCACCCCAGCAGCACUCCACAUGGUGAAGGUUUUUGCAAGCUCUCCCAAACCUGCUUGCUGCCAGCUCUGUGGUGUGACCUGCUGCCCAACAAAGAGUGCUCAAAGGAGCAUCUGCACCCCCAGGCAGGUCAGAAGCUGAGUGCAGCAUCAGUGUUGCUGGGGCUAGUUGCAUAAAAUAUUGCUGUACGGUAUGGCAAUGGAUUGCAAGCUAUGCUGUUCACUUCUUAACUUGGCAUGGAUACAAAUCCCUUAAGAAUCAGAUGAUGAAUGCUAAGCACUCUGAGCUCUCCUCAACCUUUAUGAUCCAAUGUCUGGUGUUGGACUAAUGUUCCCCAUGGUAUCAGCUCAGACCUAAUUACUGCAGUGUGAGUGAUGGUAGUGCUCUAAUGCUGGCUCUGCUUGCUUUCAGCCACAGCAAAGUACAAAAAUUUUCA